rnacentral:lncRNA from 1 species
UCAAUUUAUUAUGAUGGGUAAAAUUGAAGGACGCAGAGGAAUUGGUAGAAAGCAGGCCUCUUGGUUGUGUACCCUCUUUAAUAAUAGAAUGGAGAACACAUUGAACGGCACUAGGCUCCGGGCUCCAGUCGGUUAGAGGUGUCUUAGUCGGGGUUAAAAGGCUCAAAUAUAAGAGAUAGAGGUACGAAAGAGAAAGAGAAGAGGAGAAGAGAAGAUAAGGUAAGAGAAGACAAUUUUGGGCGCCACCUAUCGCUGGAUAGGAAUUAUGAGGAAUAGGGAAAGUUAAACGGUACUAAAACAAGAAAAGAUAACAAAUAUGAGGCGAAGGAGAUAGGAUAUGAAUAAUACGCGGUUGCAAAAUAGACUUAAGAGUAUAGCUGGUAUUUAUGUCGCGCGGUAAUCACUAGAUAUCAAAAACACAUAUACACACGUACAUAUAAAAAAAUAAAAAUCAACAUACCUGAAAGAGAAACAGAAAUAUACAUGCAACAAAAUAAAUAAUCAGAUAGAUAUGAGGAAAUAAAAAUAAGUAAAUAUUUGAGUUAAAAAUUAUAUUGUGAUGUUCAAAGUAUAUAUUUAUAAAACAAGUAAAAAAAAACAAUGAUUAAAGGUUGUGUCGUAAUUUUCCGCAACGUAAUAAUCUUCAGAUUGAUAUUCUCAAGACAGGUGAGAAACAAAGAAAAUAUAUAGUUAUGUUUAUGGAGAUGUUUAAUUUAAAUGAAAAUAGGUGAAACGAUUAAUUAUUUAGUCUUGAGAAUACGAAAAAAAAAUUGAUAGUGAUCACUAUACGUAUAUAUAAUAUCUAUAGAAAAUAGUCUAUCUGUAACAGAUGGAUUGGUGUUAUAUCGUAUGUAUAUAUAUAAUUAUUCCUGUACAAAUGAUAUUUUUAAUUGUCUGUUUGGUCAAAACCACAAUAAACAAAUUAUAAAUUCACCAAACUGCACUAAGCUUUAAAGUCAAUAACCCACUUUUAUUAGGGUUCUUAGGUAAAUCCACAAUGAAUGAAUAGUCGUUAAAUCAUAAAUCUGCUGGGGCGUAUUGUAUAUAAGUACUUACAAUAUCGGCUCGUGUCAAAACAGGUAGGUGUAGCGUUUAUGGCUAGACAAUCAAGCACGUGUCGGUAUGACAGGUGUAGAUAGAUGAGUAGGUACGGCAAUUUUCGCAAGUUGCUGGAUGGCAGGUAAUAGCAAACGACGAAAGAUAGUAGUAGUGACAAACAACGUCAAAGAACGAGAUCGGUGAACGGAAAGCCAGCAAACAAAAUUGAUAGGCUCGGCUGAAUUCCGCCUUUUCGUCUCGCACACGUCUUAACAGCACACAAGGACACAGGAAAAUGAAUUUGUAAGUGCCUCUGAGGGCUAGAUUUAGUUCUUAGGGAUGAACACGGAAGAAGGGGUAUUAGUCAAAUAUGGUCCGUAAUGGCAUCUGGAAGACGGGUCAUUUAAGAAUCUCUCAACUUUCUCUCGCUAAGCGAACAUCCUUAUAUCCGCUAACGGUUUCGAAAGGGUUCGUAGAAAUUUUAGUUUUGAGAAAACAAAAGGAAAGAAAUUCAUUGUUAGAAGAAUGGGACUAUACUAUUAGAAAGCUACGGAGUUGCACCCUGCUGAUUUGCUGGAAGUAUUUCUGCGGAAUAGACAAGUCAUAUAGAGAUUUCUAAAUGGGAGCAUCUUAACAAGGCUGCUUCUUCACCAUAGGCGUAGCUAGAGAAAUUUUGAGGGGACUUAUAAAGGGGGGAUUUCACACAUGCUACAGUU